UGCAAUAACAGCUCACUAGCUAACCUACAGUC
rnacentral:piRNA from 1 species